CCUACGGGGCGCAGCAGUGAGGAAUAUUGGUCAAUGGUCGGGAGACUGAACCAGCCAAGCCGCGUGGGGAAUGAAGGUACAGAGUAUCGUAAACCUCUUUUGUCAGGGAACAAAGGCGGGGACGCGUCCCCGGAUGAGUGUACCUGAAGAAAAAGCAUCGGCUAACUCCGCGCCAGCAGCCGCGGUAAUACGGAGGAUGCGAGCGUUAUCCGGAUUUAUUGGGUUUAAAGGGGGCGCAGGCGGUGUGGUAGGUCAGCGGUCAAAGCCCGGGGCUCAACCCCGGCCCG
rnacentral:rRNA from 1 species